ensembl:snRNA U6 U6 spliceosomal RNA
GUGCUCACUUUGGCAGCACAUGUACUAAAAUUUGAAUGGUACAGAGAAGAUUACCAUGGCCCACGUGAAAGGGUGACACACAAAUUUGUGAAGCGUGCACAUUAUCA